rnacentral:rRNA from 1 species
CAGUCGUACGCUUCUUUUUCCCCGGAGCUUGCUCCACCGGAAAAAGAAGAGUGGCGAACGGGUGAGUAACACGUGGGUAACCUGCCCAUCAGAAGGGGAUAACACUUGGAAACAGGUGCUAAUACCGUAUAACAAUCGAAACCGCAUGGUUUUGAUUUGAAAGGCGCUUUCGGGUGUCGCUGAUGGAUGGACCCGCGGUGCAUUAGCUAGUUGGUGAGGUAACGGCUCACCAAGGCCACGAUGCAUAGCCGACCUGAGAGGGUGAUCGGCCACAUUGGGACUGAGACACGGCCCAAACUCCUACGGGAGGCAGCAGUAGGGAAUCUUCGGCAAUGGACGAAAGUCUGACCGAGCAACGCCGCGUGAGUGAAGAAGGUUUUCGGAUCGUAAAACUCUGUUGUUAGAGAAGAACAAGGAUGAGAGUAACUGUUCAUCCCUUGACGGUAUCUAACCAGAAAGCCACGGCUAACUACGUGCCAGCAGCCGCGGUAAUACGUAGGUGGCAAGCGUUGUCCGGAUUUAUUGGGCGUAAAGCGAGCGCAGGCGGUUUCUUAAGUCUGAUGUGAAAGCCCCCGGCUCAACCGGGGAGGGUCAUUGGAAACUGGGAGACUUGAGUGCAGAAGAGGAGAGUGGAAUUCCAUGUGUAGCGGUGAAAUGCGUAGAUAUAUGGAGGAACACCAGUGGCGAAGGCGGCUCUCUGGUCUGUAACUGACGCUGAGGCUCGAAAGCG